rnacentral:tRNA from 1 species
GGAAGCGUGGCCGAGUGGUUGAUGGCACUGGUCUUGAAAACCAGCAACGGUGCAAGCCGUUCGUGGGUUCGAAUCCCACCGCUUCCGCCA